GACGAACGCUGGCGGCGUGCUUAACACAUGCAAGUCGAACGGAAAGGCCCUGCUUUUGUGGGGUGCUCGAGUGGCGAACGGGUGAGUAACACGUGAGUAACCUGCCCUUGACUUUGGGAUAACUUCAGGAAACUGGGGCUAAUACCGGAUAGGAGCUCCUGCUGCAUGGUGGGGGUUGGAAAGUUUCGGCGGUUGGGGAUGGACUCGCGGCUUAUCAGCUUGUUGGUGGGGUAGUGGCUUACCAAGGCUUUGACGGGUAGCCGGCCUGAGAGGGUGACCGGCCACAUUAGGACUGCGAUACGGACCAGACUCCUACGGGAGGCAGCAGUGGGGAAUAUUGCACAAUGGGCGGAAGCCUGAUGCAGCAACGCCGCGUGCGGGAUGACGGCCUUCGGGUUGUGAACCGCUUUCGCCUGUGACGAAGCGUGAGUGACGGUAAUGGGUAAAGAAGCACCGGCUAACUACGUG
rnacentral:rRNA from 1 species